rnacentral:rRNA from 1 species
CAUCUGGGGAUUCUCUUGGAAACAGGGAAGUGCCUUCGGGAGCCCCAAGACAGGUGCUGCAUGGCUGUCGUCAGCAUCGUGUUCGUGAGAUGUUGGGUUAAGUCCCGCAACGAGCGCAACACCUGUCCUUAGUUGCCAGCGGGUAAUGCCGGGAACUCUAAGGAGACUGCCUGUUACAAGCAGGAGGAAGGUGGGGAUGACGUCAAGUCAUCAUGGCUCUUACGCCCAGGGCUGCACACGUGCUACAAUGGCCGGCACAAUGGGUUGCGAUACCGUGAGGUGGAGCCAAUCCCAAAAAACCGUCUCAGUUCGGAUUGAAUUGCACUCGACUUCAUGAAGUUGGAAUUGCUAUAAUCGCANUUCAGACGCCGCAG